CUACCUAUAAUGGUACCUUCGUUGUUAUCGGGAAACUUGACCUUCUUAGUAGUAGGCCAGUCGGUCAAGUCAGACUUGAAUCUCCAGUCAUGUCCUUUUGCAUCCACUGUCGAACAACCAUUUUGACACUUUUUUUUCCUGAAAGAGUUUAAUAACCUUUUGGUACUCAUACUGAGUUGGGUCCAGAUGAAUUAAUAUAAUUAAUUUGCUUAUAAUUUUUUAACUUAUCAUUGGUCAUCCAUAUUUGUUUUGGAUGAUUCAUCUUAGAUAGAUUUUUCUUUUUCUUAAAAUGAAUAGGUUUUUUAUAGCUAGAUUCCCUCACAAAAUAAUCAUUAUAAGUUAAAGCACGUGAAGGUUUUUUAAUAGGUGCAUCUGAUUCAAACCUUAAGCUAAAUUUCUUUUGACCCGAGCUUUAACCUUGCAACAUGUCAUUUAACUUAGAUGAACUAUUUAAUAAUUUUUCAAGAACAUUAUUUUUCUGAUCUACUCUUUUGAUUUGUAAUUGCAUAUCAUUACAUUUUUCAGAUAAUUUUUGUAUGGUUUCUACAUGCUCAAGUAUGAUUUUAUCCUUAGAUUCUAUUUCUGUUUUGAGCAUGAUUGUUUUUUUUUUCUUUUAAAAUAAUAUCUUUUUCAAAAUUAUCUAUUUUUAAUUCUAACAAUUCGAUCUUAUCAUCAUCUAUUUCCUUAGGUUGAUUUUUUUCAGAUUCUAAAAUUUUAAACAAUUCAAAGUUUUGACUCUUAAGUAUCUUAAUUUUUUCUUCAUAUUUGUUUAAUUUACUUGUGAGUUUUAGAUUUAUUUCUUUUAAUUGCAUGCAUUCUUUUUGUGAUUCUUCUAAUUCAAUAGAUUGAUCUAUAUGUGAUUUAUCCAUGCAUUCUAUUUUUAAUGAUUUAUUUAACUUUUUCUCAGUUUUAUAUUUUUCCAUUAAUUCUAGAUAUGCUUCUUCUAAAGAAUUAAAUCUAUUUACAAAACUUACCUCAGAGUCACUUUCAUGAGCCAUGAGGCAAUCUUUUUGAUCCGAGUCGGAGUCUGUCCAUUGUACCUGAUUUGCUUUUUCUUUUUUUAGCAGAG
rnacentral:lncRNA from 1 species